UUUUUUUUGAGGCCUGUCUGAUUUUCCCAGGAUAUGCAGGGAAGCCAAGCGUGAGCAGCUAUGUACUGUCAUUUCCCUGUCAGACACCUGUCUGAUGCUAUCAAUUUCUUUUCUACCCCCAGAGGUUUCAACCAUUAGAGAGAGCCAGAACUUCCUGUCUGACCUCUUGCCUUUUCAUUUUCUCUCUCCUGGCUCUUCCACUAGCAGUGAAAGGAUGUCCUAUUUCAUUUUUGGUUAGCUGGGAGCAUCUUCUGCUUCCAUGCUCUGUGAUCUUCAUCGAUGUCUUCCUCCACCUUCUCUGGGCAGCACACUUUUUUAGUCUAGUCUGGAAGAAGAGAUUCAGGGACAAGGAAAAAAAAACUGGAUGAGUAAAAUUACAUUUCCAAAAGUAAUUCCAUUUUUUUCUCAUGUCUUUCCUAAAAUGCCAUGGAACUUUAUAGCAUCAAUGUCUGUCAGCAUGGAUUGACAAGCACCCUGGACUUUGGAUGACUUCCCUACAGCCCCAGCUGGGCCUGGCUGGCUGUCUCCCUUCUUCACUUGGCCACAGCAUAACCUGCAGUCAAGCCACAAGAGUGACCUCAAGGCCUCAGACCACUUUUCCAGCCUCAGCUUUUCUUAUGGGUCCAGCCCACUUACAGCAGAAAGUUGCCAACGUUUGGGCUGCCAUAUCACUUCUGCAAGAUGUCGGGGCCCUGCACAGCUGCUCAGACCCCAAUGCUGGAGCAUCCUGGGACCUGGAGAGACCAGGUAUCCACGUAUCAGAAAAAGCUGGCUGGGCACGGUGGCUCCCGCCUGUAAUCCAGCACUUUGGGAGACUGAGGAGAGUGGAUCACCUGAGGUCAGGAGUUCGAGACCAACACGAAGCCUGACCAACAUGGAGAAACCCUGUCUCAACUAAAAAUAUAAAAUUAGCUGAGUGUGGUGGCGCAUGGCUAUAAUCCCAGCUACUCGGUGGUGGGUGGGGGGGGGUGGGUGAGGCAGGAGAAUCACUUGGACCUGGGAGGUGGAGGUUGCGGUGAGCCGAGAUCAAGCCAUUGCACUCCAGCCUGGAUGACAAGAGUAAAACUCUGUCUCAAAAAAAAAAAGAAAGAAAAGGAAAAAGAAAAAGCUGUAUCUGCAGUUUCAGGUAUCUACUGGGGUGCUUGGAACAUACGCUUCGUGGAUAAGGGGGGUCUGCUGUAUACAUACUCAUGUAAAACUUGUUUCCUCCCCUGAAAAAUGUGAAGGAGAUGAUGAGUUUGAGGCUCCUCCUUCUCAGAAGUUUGAGUUUGACCCCUGAAAUCUGUGUGUCAUUCAGAUCAGGUCACGAGGUUGAAGUAAGGAAGGGAAACAGCAUGACAUGAGGCCAAGGAUGAGCCCCUCUGAGGCACCAGAGUGACGUCAGACGCCCCCCAGGACACAGGGCUCCCCCUACAUUGCCCUCGGCAGCCUCUGUGCCACCCUUGGUGCGGUUCUUAGUCAUGACUCCCUUUCAACCAGGGUUAUUGUUCUUGGAGGGAGGUCACUCACUGAAAGAAGGGUGCCUGCUGGGAAGGGUGUUUUUGGUCAGCUGAAUUUCUCCAGGGCCUCCUGGCGUCCCCCUAUGUACCCGAGGGCCUUUGUCACUGUGAGCUCUCAGACUAGCUGCUCGAAUGUCUCGUCUGAGCAGACAGCUCCAUCUUUAUCUUCAGGGCUCUGAAUCCCAGGUAUCCCUGGCCAUCGAGCUGCUCUCUGAGGACUGUCUGCUUCCUCACUGACCCUGUGGUCCCCUGCACCGUCUCCAUAUCGUCCAUACUUACACGGCGGCCUAUGUUACUGGCGAGAGAGAAGGCAGACGUGACACAAUCCUGGCACAGUCCUAGUCCCCCUAGCAGGUGGUCCCAAAUGACAUGCUGAAGAGGCCUGGAGAUGCAGGACACACAGAUCUUGUCCUCCUGGGCUGGAUACGACAAGACCCCAAGGGUGUUUGGCUGCAGGACCUCUGGUAUGGACACUCUGCCUUCUCCUUUCCUGAGGGUGUGGGCUGCGUACCUGUGACAUAUUGCCCGGCACCUGUUCCUAGCUACUGGCGGGCUGCUAGGUAAGAUGAACUGUUGGGUCCUGAAAACCAUGGCCCCCAAAGCCUCUGCUUUUAAAGUUCUGCUGUCAGACUUUUAUACUUUCUCUACUUUGAGGGCUGUUCAUCCUCUGAUCGCCAUGCUUCCUCUUGGCUUGGAGAAAGCCGUGGAGCAAAUGCUGUUCCUGUAUUGGGGGCGGGGAGCCUGGAGAGAAGUCUGGCUUGUCAUGGACAGACUGGAUCAGGGGCCUAACUGGACAAAGAGAAACUCAGCUGGGACAAACGUGAAGCUCUGCAGUGAGGCUGUCCCUCCAUAAAGACCUGCAUGGACACACGCACAGGGAAUGCUAACGACACUGCUCAGGAUACAAGUGACAUCAGGCCCUCACCUGCUUCAAGUCCCCCAGAGCCAAGCUGGGUAAGAUGUAUAAUCACUCUCCAAUUUGUGUUCUGGAGCUCUGAGCACAGUUCUAGAGUCACAGAAUAAGUAGUGGAUUAAAAAAUGGCACGUGCCUGGAGGACAGUGUGGCUGGAAACCGUGGGCUUCGAGGAAAGGCAGCUCAGGAUCUCUCAGCUGGAGAAGGGAAGGCUCGGGGGUCCCUAAGAGGUGUGCACAGAUAUCCGAGGACUUGCCAUUUUGUAGAUGAAGACUCAUUUUGUGUGCAGAUGGUGGGUGCCUUGAAGGAAGUGAUCUUGCCAUCACUGGAGGUGGUUCUAGAAACUUCCCUUGGUGAAGAUGUAGGACUACAUGACAUUUAAAGUUGUUCUCAGCCUGAAGUGUCUCUGCAUCCAAAAAUGAUUUUUAAAUAUCCUUGUAGGGCUCUGAAAUGUCUCCUUACCUGGGACAGACAAAAGAGUGGACAAUUCCUCUUUCACAAGACUUAGUGCCUCUCUGAAGCAGCUCAGUCUGGGCCUGUAAGGAUCCACGUGUGUGCAAGAGUGUGUGUGUGUGUGAAAGUGAGUGUGCCUGAAUGUGUGUCAGUGUGUGUGAGUGUGCAUGUGUGUGUGUGUGUAUAGCAUUUGUGGUGGAUUAGAUGGUUAUUGAGCAAAUGCUCACUCAAUAUUACUCCUUCCUUUGCUGAUGGCAUAUAUUUGCCCCACUCACUUUGGACAUGGCUGUGUAACCACUGCAUGAAAGUGAGAGGGUGCCAACGGGUCAGAUGUCCAUGUUUGUCCUCUGGUGCUCCUGCCUCCACCAUGAGAUAAGGUUGUUGCAGUUCCAAAAUAAAGAGACCCAUGGAACAAACCAUGUCCACGCCCAGCCAAGAGCUAACCCCAGUCAGACCUGUGAGUGAAUAGAAAUAAAUAGCUGUUGUUGGAAGCCACUGAGAUUUGGGGAUUAUUUGUUACCCAGCAUUAUCACAGCAAAAGCUGGCUGCUGAGUGUUCCUGGAAUUCUUAACAUAGAAUGACUUUAAUACUCAGGUCUGUGGGAGGGCCUCUGUUCUGAGGUGCUUGCUCUAUUGCACUGAGGAAUCAGUGUUCAGUAAACAGUUGUUUUUCUCCAGACCCCUUUUCACGGCCUCUCCCUGGAGUGUGCAGCUCCUGCAUUUGUAGGACGAUCAACCACAUUUACAAAAUCCCAUCUCCUCUCCAGUAACCCACUUCAACAGACUCUUAGAACCGUCUGUCUUUGACAAGG
rnacentral:lncRNA from 1 species